GUAAAAACCCUAUUUGUAAACAACCAGUCCUUUAACUAAGCGCUACGUCAUAAACACGGCGCGCUUGGAAGACCACGAUGUCAUCUUCCUUCUGUCAGGAGGAUCAAAGUGAAGCUACAGGAGUUUCAUUAACGUCAACAACUUGGACCGAACGGUUUGUUUUGCUUGAUGAAGAGCAGGAAGGGCAGCCUGGAGAGAAAGAGAAGCCGGGUUGAGCCCACUACCAUCAUCCACGUACCACGAGGAAGAUGAGGGAGAGAAAUGAUCCUACCAUUAAAGAGACUGUGAAAAGAACGUUGAGAACAUCACCACUCUACAGGAAGACACAGUCCAGUAAUGGGUGUCAGAAGUUCAGUAGUGAACGACAGAAACAAACAAUCCAAAUUACCUGCAGAACGCCCUUGAUGGACGCUUCAGCUGCAUCGUCAGACUGGUGAGACAGCAAGAUGCCAACUUUAAUGCCAAUUUAUUUGUGUAACAUUCUGUGACCAAAUGUAUAGAUAACUUUUUGUAGAUUGUAAAAAUAGA